rnacentral:rRNA from 1 species
UACGGGGGGGGCAAGCGUUGUUCGGAAUUACUGGGCGUAAAGGGCUCGUAGGCGGCCAACUAAGUCAGACGUGAAAUCCCUCGGCUUAACCGGGGAACUGCGUCUGAUACUGGAUGGCUUGAGUGUGGGAGAGGAAUGCGGAAUUCCAGGUGUAGCGGUGAAAUGCGUAGAUAUCUGGAGGAACACCGGUGGCGAAGGCGGCAUUCUGGACCAUUACUGACGCUGAGGAGCGAAAGCGUGGGGAGCGAACAGG